CCUACGGGGGGCAAAGAGGGGAAUAUUGGACAAUGGGCGCAAGCCUGAUCCAACCCUGCCUCGUGAGUGAUGAAGGCCUUAGGGUUGUAAAGCUCUUUCGUCAGGGAAGGUAAUGACGGUACCUGAAGAAGAAGCCCCGGCUAACUUCGUGCCAGCAGCCGCGGUAAUACGAAGGGGGCUAGCGUUGCUCGGAAUCACUGGGCGUAAAGCGCACGUAGGCGGCUUUCUAAGUUAUAGGUGAAAUCCCGGAGCUCAACUCCGGAACUGCCUUUGAUACCGGAAAGCUUGAGUUCGGGAGAGGUGAGUGGAACUGCUAGUGUAGAGGUGAAAUUCGCAGGUAU
rnacentral:rRNA from 1 species